rnacentral:rRNA from 1 species
AGUGAACGCUGGCGGUAGGCCUAACACAUGCAAGUCGAACGGCAGCACAGGAGAGCUUGCUCUCUGGGUGGCGAGUGGCGGACGGGUGAGGAAUACAUCGGAAUCUACUCUGUCGUGGGGGAUAACGUAGGGAAACUUACGCUAAUACCGCAUACGACCUACGGGAGAAAGCAGGGGAUCUUCGGAACUUGCGCGAUUGCACGAGCCGAUGUCAGAUUAGCUAGUUGGCGGGGUAAAGGCCCACCAAGGCGACGAUCCGUAGCUGGUCUGAGAGGAUGAUCAGCCACACUGGAACUGAGACACGGUCCAGACUCCUACGGGAGGCAGCAGUGGGGAAUAUUGGACAAUGGGCGCAAGCCUGAUCCAGCCAUACCGCGUGGGUGAAGAAGGCCUUCGGGUUGUAAAGCCCUUUUGUUGGGAAAGAAAUCCAGCUGGCUAAUACCCGGUUGGGAUGACGGUACCCAAAGAAUAAGCACCGGCUAACUUCGUGCCAGCAGCCGCCGUAA